UCAGAUUCUUUAAAUUAUAUUUAAAAAGAUAAAAUAUUAAAAUAUUUUUUAAAAUAAAAAAAUUAAUGACAGUAAAAUAAUAUAUUUGAAAAAAAAUAACAAUUUUAUUAAAAUAAUAACUGCAUCUAACUGUGCACUACGAAAUUUAACUUUAGAAAUAUAUUUGAAAUAUUUUAAAAUUUUAAAAAGAUAUUUUUAAUAUUAAACUUUUAAGAAGAAUAAAUAAAAAAGUCAAAAAAUUUUCAAAAAUAUAAAAGCAAUUGUCUCUAAAUUAUAAUAAUAAUAAUAGUAAUUUUUAAAAUUAUAUUUUUUUAUAUAAAAUUAGUAAAUCAUUUU
rnacentral:lncRNA from 1 species